GACAGAGGGUGCAAACGUUGUUCGGAAUUACUGGGCGUAAAGCGAGUGUAGGCGGUCUUAAAAAGUCAGGUGUGAAAGCCCCGGGCUCAACCCGGGAAGUGCACUCGAAACUGCAAGGCUAGAGUACUGGAGAGGUUGGUGGAAUUCUCGGUGUAGAGGUGAAAUUCGUAGAUAUCGAGAGGAACACCGGUGGCGAAGGCGGCCAACUGGACAGAUACUGACGCUGAGACUCGAAAGCGUGGGGAGCAAACAGG
rnacentral:rRNA from 1 species